rnacentral:rRNA from 1 species
AACCAGACUCCUACGGGAGGCAGCAGUGAGGAAUAUUGGUCAAUGGACGAAAGUCUGAACCAGCCAUGCCGCGUGCAGGAAGACGGCUCUAUGAGUUGUAAACUGCUUUUGUACAAGGGUAAACCUGAAUACGUGUAUUCAGCUGAAAGUACUGUACGAAUAAGGAUCGGCUAACUCCGUGCCAGCAGCCGCGGUAAUACGGAGGAUCCAAGCGUUAUCCGGAUUUAUUGGGUUUAAAGGGUGCGCAGGCGGAUUUUUAAGUCAGCGGUAAAAUCGUGGGGCUCAACCCCAUCCAGCCGUUGAAACUGGGGAUCUAGAGUGUGCGAGAGGUAUGCGGAAUGCGUGGUGUAGCGGUGAAAUGCAUAGAUAUCACGCAGAACCCCGAUUGCGAAGGCAGCAUACCGGUGCACAACUGACGCUGAGGCACGAAAGCGUGGGUAUCGAACAGGAUUAGAUACCCGUGUA